rnacentral:lncRNA from 1 species
ACACUUCACAGACAGGGAAAUGGAAGCCAAGGACGGUGUUUUAUUCAUCAUCAAUGCCCGCAGUGUUGGCGCCCUGUAGAAAUCUAUGAGCACAUCUUCCAGUUUUAGUUCACUGUGGAAAGGGCCAGACACACCUAAUAAAGACAAUGGGGGACCGGCGAUGCGCUGGAACACGCAGAUCUCAACUUCCAACUCAGGCCGUGCUGUCCCUCGGGGAAGGGAACAACCCAGACAACCGUCACCAGCCGCAGUAGUUCAUUCUGGGAUGUGCACCCGCCUGGGACCCGAGGACGUUUCCACAAGAGACCAGAAUUGGAAUCUGUGCCCCUCCCACUAAAGUAAGCCACACCCCUCCCAACGAGGGUGGGAGUCAUCCAAUCAGCUGGGGGUCUGGGUGGACCGAGAGGCACGAGAAAGGAGAGUUGUCCCGCUCUGCCUGUUUGUCUGCAGCCUGGACAUUGGCCCUCUCCUUCCUUCAGAGUGGAACUCCCACCCUCAGCUCUCCUGGGUCUCCAGUUUGCUGACUGCAGAUCUUUGGACUUCACCUCCCCUGUAAAUGUGAGCGGUCCCUUGUAGCCUCUCUCUGUCCCUCUCGGUACGUGUGUGUUUGUAUAAGCACACACAUGGCGUGUGUAUAUUUACAGUCACUCUGAGAUAAAAAGUAUAGCGAGGUUAACGAUGUAAACAGUUACAUAGCCAUUUACUGUCAGUAUCAAGCAUUAUCCACUGUAGAUAAUUGCAUGUGCUACACUUCUUUUUUAAAAUAUUUAUUUUAUUUACUUGAAAGGCAGAGUUACAGAGAUAAAGGAAGAGACACAGAGAGAAAGAGAGGCCUUCCAUUCGCUGGUUUACUCCCCAAAUGGCCACAAAGGCUGGGUCUGGGCCAGGCUGAAACCAAGAGCCUGGACUCCAUCCGGGUCUCCUAUGUGGAUGCACAGGCCAAGUACUUGGGCCGUCUUCUGCUGCUUUCCCAGGUGCACUAGCAAGAAGCUGGAGCAAAAGUGGGGCAGGCAGGACUGGAACCAGUGGCCUAUACAAGGAUGCCAGCAUUGCAGGUGGUGGCUUAACCCGCUGUGCCACAAUGCCAGCCACAUGUUGUUAUUGUUAAAUGAGCUAAUAAUGGGGCCGGCACUGUGGCAUAGUGGGUAAAGCCACUACCUGCAGUGCCGGCAUCCCAUAUGGGAGCCGAUUUGAGUCCCUGCUGCUCCACUUCUGAUCCAGCUCUCUGCUAUGGCCUGGGAAAGCAGUGGAAGAUGGCCCAGGUCCUUGGGCCCCUGCACCCAUGUAGGAGACCCGGAAGCAGCUCUUGGCUCCUGGAUUCAGAUCGAAGCAGCUCUGGCCAUUGUGGCCAACUGGGGAGUGAACCAGUAGAUGGAACCCCUCCCCCAUAUCUGCCUUUCAAAUGAAUAAAUAAAUCUUUUUUAAAAAAUGCCA